GUGCCAGCAGCCGCGGUAAUACAGAGGUCCCAAGCGUUGUUCGGAUUCACUGGGCGUAAAGGGUGCGCAGGUGGUCGGGUAAGUCUGAUGUGAAAUCCCGCAGCUUAACUGCGGAAUGGCAUUGGAUACUAUUCGGCUAGAGGGUUGGAGGGGGGACUGGAAUUCUCGGUGUAGCAGUGAAAUGCGUAGAUAUCGAGAGGAACACCAGUGGCGAAGGCGAGUCCCUGGACAACUCCUGACGCUGAGGCACGAAAGCUAGGGGAGCAAACAGGAUUAGAUACCCCGGUAGUCC
rnacentral:rRNA from 1 species